AUACAGAUUAACAGGGGAGAACGGAAGUAGAACAGGGGACAAAUGACUUUCUGGGAAAAUUUCUUUGUUGGUGGUCACUAGGUGCAAUAAUGUAUGAGAUGCUUGUUGGAUAACCUCCAUUUUAUUCAGAUGAUCCGAUAACUGCAUGUAAAAAGGUGUUGGUUUAGAUAAGCCAAACGAAUGGGGAUUUGAUACUACACAGGUUGAUAAUAUUCUCAAAAAGUUGAAAGUGAGGAUGAUGAUGAAGAAACAGGCUUACCAAAGGACAAUAGUGAAAAAACUACACGUCCCCAAGGAAGGUCAUUUUCUUGCUCAAAAUCGAAUUUAAUUCUAAAUUGUUCAUUAUAUCCAAAUUAUUAAUACAUAGGUAUAUAUUAAUAUAUUAUUAGAUACAAGAAAUGAAAAAGAAACAUCCAUUUACAUACUAUAUAUAU